rnacentral:lncRNA from 1 species
GGAUGGAGGGGUUGAAGGGGGGAGGGUAGGGGAAGGGGAAAAAAAUAAGAACCAAGAGAGACUAUGUAAAGGUGCAAAUUUCCAAUGGUGAAUGUCAUUAUAUUGUAUACCUAAAACGUACCAAUAAAAGGAUAUACAAAAAAAAAAAAGAAAAGAUGAUGGCAUUGGCAUAACAAUGAAUAAAUAAGUACUUAAUAAACAAAACAAAACAAAAAAAGAAAAUACAGAGGUCCAGGAAAUAAUCUCAUAACCAGUAUUCCAGCUGUCUUCUUACCUUACCACCAUAUUCUGGGUAGAUGAUCCGGCCUUAUAGGUAGGUCUGCCUUCUCAGCCAUUGAGUUUCCUCAGGUUGUGCUAAGGCCCCUAUUAUAUUCCACCAGCCACCCAAUCAUAAACUUCCUGGUCCAGGAGAGCCCCUGUAGGAUGGCUCUGGUUCUGAAGAAGCCAGUCUUGACCAAAUUGGCUCUUGGUCCCUGCUUUGUUUUCAGAUGUUGUAUUAGAGAGCAAAAUUGUGAUGGGCAUUUUAGAACCUCCUAGGAGAAGAAAGAAAAGUUUGGGUGGAAUCAAGUUGCUGGAUUAUGUGUGCAGAUUAUUUUCAGGGCUAAUGGAUAUGGAGGUGGUGGACAGAGGAAGACUGCCUUCUGCAGACCCACAUAUUUGUGAAUACAAGCAUCAUUUUUAGCACCAAGACCAUUGAGCACAAUUGAAAUAGAUUGUUUACUCAAAAGAAUAUUUCUAAAAUGUCUAAAAUGCAGAGCACUGUAUGGAAACGUUCCAUGUGAACAAAAUGGACAUGGGCCUUGUUCUUACAUCUUUUCUGUGAGGGCACGGGUAGUUUUAUGCAGGCUAGUGAAUGUUGUGAGAAGAAAACAUUGAACUGGAAGUGUUCACUGGGCCUCUUAACACAGUAUAGUCAACAGAAUCUUCCCAGGGAUGUGAUGUCCAUGAUGAACCCUGAAGAAUAAGAAUGUGGUAGCUGGUGUCAGGGAGAAAGACAGAGGCUCAGAGGCAAGAAAGUUUGGUGUUUGAGACAUUUGAAUAUGGUUUAUUAUAUUUAGAGCAGUGACAGGUGGAAAAGAUGUUUAAAAUGAAGCUGGAGAAUGAGCACUAGCUUGACUGUAAAGGGUUUUUUUUUUUUAAAUAGAUUUUAUUUUAUUCCAUUCACUACCAGAAGCCCCCUCUGUGAAGGGUUUAACUGUAGGAGUCAGUGUGGGGCUUGGAUGAGGGCAGUGAGGAAGGACUAAUGGGUAUACUUAGUUGUCUGUAUGAUUAAAAAUCAGGAGGAAUGCGAUUAAGAUGGAAAGCAAUUGUUUGUCCCUAUUUCAAGCCCUGGUUAGAAUUCAUAGUUGUUCUGUCUGUAGCCAUCUUUCAUUUUAGGUUUUCUGACGUUAAUCUCCAAAACAUGGAUUAUAUGUGAAACUUUGUUAUUUGUGGCUUUUCAUCUUUAAGGGACAUUCUGCUUAUGAUACUAUUCCUACAUCUCUUUCUAAAUCGUUAUUGUUGAUAUGUGUAGUGCUGUUUAAAAUUACGCUAUUGUAAUUUUAAUACUACCUUUUGUUUGGUUUAUGAUGUAUGUCAGAAUAUAGACUCCUUUGUUUACAAGAUAAAAAUGGUAUUGCCCUAAAAUUCCACUCUUCCCUCCUAUUCCAGCAUGUCUUUCUAUCCUUCAUCACACUUUUAUGUUUUUGUUAUUACUUUUACAUCUCGGGCAUUUUUCACAUUUGUAUCUUAUCUGCAGCCCCAACCAAGUGGUCUGGAGGCUGUUCAUGGGUUGAAGUCUAACUUAUGUUUUUUACUUUAAGGAAUCAUUUUGUUAUUUUGACUCUCUUUUUUUGUGAUAUUCUUUUUUUUUUUUUUGGUACUGGGGAUUGAACUCUGGUCCUUGUGCUUGCACAGCAGGCAGCAAAACCACUGAGCUAAAUCCCCGGCUUGACUGUUUUUUUUUAUGAGAACCUUUCUUUAUGGAUUCACAAAUUACUCCAGGUAUGCUUAGAAAGGUUUUGCUUGUUUGUCUUUUUUAACUUUUCUUCAGCUUUCCAGCUUAGGUCUUUUUUCUAGGUCAGUUUUUCUUUGUUUGGUAUUUCUUUGUCUUUCCUGAAGGUUUCUCAUGUAUCUAGCUACCGGUGGUUGUCAGUAAGUAUGUAAGAAGAGACAUGAUACUCACCUGCAUUAGAUCUGUGCCCUAAUGGGAAUUUAGGACCUGGAGUGGUUUGCUUCAGCACAUUCCUAUGCUGUGGACCCCAGAUAACUAGGCGAAAAGCUUUUUACUCCAAUGAUGUCAGCACCCAUCUUUGCUUUAUUUUCUAGAGUAACACCCCUUGGAUUUUUGUCUGAGGAAAAAUACUGGUUCGGCCUGGGCUAGUUGCACCCCUGGCUUGUGUCAACCCUCAAUAUUUCAUGGCCAGAAGUGCAGCCAUUCUCAAGACUUAGUUGUUUGUCUUUGUCAGAUAACACUCUGCAGCCACCUCCCUUUUAAUUUAGAUAUUUGCAUCACUUCUUGGCCUUUUGGCUAAGAUCAAGUGUAAUUUAGGUAUUUGCUGGAUUCUCAUCUUCUGGUGACUCUUCCCUGUCUUAUUUUUAUUAUUAUAGAUAUAUCAUUUCUUGGCUUCCAUGCUUUAGUUUCAUUGAAGUCUCCAAGGAAAUAGAACUCAUUAGCUUACCAUCUUGAACCUGAAACCACUGAGGAUUUUGAGAGCAGGGCUUGAGGCUGUCCGUCAGACUGAACCGAGAAGGCAUCACUGGGUGUGAAGAUGUGCUGAGGGAGUUUGGAGUGGUAAAGUAGAGGAGAAUAAUUGAGGUAAUGAGAUUUUUGUCUAGUGCUAGCCCUCAGCAUCUCAGGUGUAGUCUGGAAGUAGUCCGAGUAUUUGUUUGAACUCAUUUAGCUGGGUUCUUUCUAGGCUGGCUUACAGGAAGGAUAACGUGAGCUGGUGAUACUGUUAAGAGAUUGAUUUGAACCGUGAACUUUACAGUUCAACUCGGAAAAUGAUUGUCGAGUACCUGUUAAGUGCCAGCCAUGAUUCUAAUUGCUUACGUAGAUGUGACAAUAAACAAAGAGAAAGUCCUACAUAGAGUGGGAAAACAGAACAGUAACCACAAUAAGUACAUUAUGUCAUUAUUGGAAGGUGGGAAGUGCAGUGUGGAAAAAUUAUGUGGUAGCAUAGAGUGAGAUUGAGCCUCAUCAUGAACCAGAUUUGAGCCAAAUAUGAUGGAGAUGAAUAUAUGAGCCAAGCAGAUAGCUGGGAGAAGGAGCCUUGUAGGUGAGUGAAGAGCAAUGCAAAGGGAACAGAAGGUGUCUAGAGUGGAUGUCUGAGGAAGCUGGGUUGUUACUGUGGAAUGAAUGUCACUCAGACUUCAUGACAGCAUGUAACAUAGGAAUAGACAUGGGGAGAGAACCUGCUGGAAGGCUGUGGAGGGACACAGAUGUGCACCAGAGGUAGUGUGGGCUAGGGUAGCAGUAGUAGAGAUGGUAAAAAGUAGAUGGACCCUGGAAAAAGUAGGUGGACCCUGGAUGUAUUUUGAAGGUAUAACCAAUAGGAUUUGCUGACAAAUGGGAUGUAGGGGAUGAGAAGAGGUGAGGCGGGGUGGUACAGUUGACUAUGAGGCAUGUAAUCUGGGCAAUUAGGAGGAUACUGCAGGGCUGUGGCUGGAACUUAGCGUACAGGAACGGGUGAAGAAUUCAUUUUCAGGCAUUUUUAAGUUUGACAUGUCUCUUAGGGAAUCCCAGUAAAGAUGUCAUGCAGCCAUCUGAACCUUGGAAAAGAAGAAAUAGAAAUAAAUGUAUGCUAAGGAUUACUAGAUAAUCAUCGAGGGAGUGAGCAUAGAGAAGAUGGCCAAAAGUGGAGCUAUGGAUCACUCUACCGUUUAAUGGUCAGGAGGAGAGCUAGCAGCCCAGAGCAGGUAUAAGGAAAACCAGGAGCAUAGACUGUCAUGGAAAAAAGGGAUGGAAAUGCUUCAAGAAGAAAGAUGCCUUCAAGUCUGUCAAGUGCAGCAGAAAGAUGAAGGUGAGGGUUGAGGUUUGACCUUUGGAUUUAGCAAGUAGGAAGUAAUAUUAAUGGUGUUUUAGAGCAGUUUUAGGAAAGUGGUGAGAAGUCUGAUUGAAAUACAGUUAGACGUGGCUAGUUCCUACUCUGAAAUGGGAAGGCAGUAGUGAAGUGAAGAUUAUAUUUUGGUUGCCUUAGGUCUAAGGAAGUAAAAACCAGCAUCAUACUGUUAAAGAAAUCUCGGAAAGAAAUACACAGAGACACAGAAUUUGGAUAAAAUAAUAAAAUUUCUUCUCGGGAGUGAGUGGGAACACCAGAAACAGUCUGAUCAGUAUCCUUGCCCUUUUUUCAGCAUUUCCCUUUUUAUAUCCUUUUUAGCCAUUAUCUCAUCCCUAGUGGUCUUUGAUGUGUAAAUACAAUUCCAGUUCCUAUUUACAAGUCACAGACACAAGAUAGGCCAUAUACAUUAUAAAUUCAACCUGGCCUGGUAACUUUGUUAGGUUAAUGAAGUUACAGGUUAGAGUCAGAUAAUCCUCACCUUAAAUAAGGAGUUACGGGAAAAGCAAAUCUUAAAAGAACACAUUACUUAUUUUGCUUCUACAACUACCUUAAUAAUCAGUCUAUUAAGUUAUCUAAAACUUUUCUGUAUCAAUACUUACUAGCACUAGACUAGUGUGUAUGGGGUGCUGUACAACUAAACAUCCUGUGUCAGGUAAAUGAUGUUAUCACUAUUUCGUAGGUGCGAAAACUCAGGUUUUGAGAUGAAAACUUUCUAAAGAGUAGCUGGCCCAUGUUGGAGCUAGGAAGCAGGGUAUUACAUCCCAGCUCUCUUUGACCUUGCAGUCUGUCCUGUACUACUGUGCUACCUUGGGUGGGAAGAUCAUGAACUCUCCAUACUGUCAGGUAAAAGGGCCGAAAACCAAGACCAGACCAGGCCACAACAAGCCAUUAUUAGGGGAAUAGAUCUGCCGGGCUGUCUCUGACCAAAGGAGAGACAAAAGCAAUAUGGCCUGGGCAGGGAGAAUCUUUUAUAGAGACUGGGGUGGGGUAUGUAGGGGCUGAGGUGGGGUUAAGUGAGGUAGUGACUAGGGAAUGGAGGAGCCGGUGAUGUCACUAGGUGGUAGGAGGUGAGUGAGUAGUAAGUUACUUUCUAGGGGGGAACGGCCAUACUGGGAAGAAGGGUUUAUUCUUUGGUGGGAGCAACCAUCUUGGCAUGAUGUCACACAGGGGAGGGGGCAAGGCAUGAUAGGAAGAGGGCAGCUACUAUACAUAAUAGCUGCUGAAGUAGUGGGAGACCUAUCAUUCCAGGCUUUUGUUUUAUGAUAGUUGGACGAAGGUCUCUUCUCCUGGAGCUGCUUCCUGCUGACAAGGGUUGAAGAUUGGGGCUAGACUUGGAUCUGAUGAGGCCCAUGGCAAGUGGGGACCUCUUCCUUUUGUCGUACUGGCUGGUACCCUGCCGUGAUGAACUCCAUGACUGCCUGAUUGGUGAAUGCCCUCAAUCAUUGCUGCAAGAAAUUUUGAAAACAGCGAACCAGGCACAGUCCAAAACAGAGAAUUAAACAGAUAAUACUGAGGGGUCCCAAGAGUAGUAAUAGCCAGGGGAGCCAUGAGCUCCAGGAACCAAACGUACCCCACCAUUGAUUAGUCCCUUGGGGGCCAUAUGUAUCUGGCCCAUUGAGUUUUAAUAUUUUUCAUUUGACAUGUAAUUUCUUUUUUCAUUAUUUACCUAGGUUUUACAGAGACAGCUGGAUGUUUAGGGGCUCAUUUGUUAUAGAAGUAAGAGACUGUUAUAGAAGUAAGAGAUCAUAGCUCCUGUUCUAAGGGCCCAUGUGUCAUGUCCUUGCUCUUAGAGAAUGAGUGGAAAAGUGAUAAACACAAUUUAUAUAAUCUUUAUAAUCUUUUUUUUUUUGGAAUAUGAAAGGUGUAUGUAACUGAGCACAUGUCUUCUGGAGGCCAACAUACUGAUGAGUAUCGUGUUACUAUGAACCUGACUUGUCCUUUAAAUUCAAGGCCAUGAAAACACACAUUUUAGGUUGAUAGUUCCAGCAAAGCCAUGGAAUAGUUGUGUAAAAGACAGUUUUAUUCCUGUAUCUCUCAGUUUUUGGAGGCCUCCUAGAUAUAUUUAAAAAUAAAGAGAACUGAUAACCUCAACAAGGACACUAGCCAACUUAAGGGGAUCAAGUGUAACAUAAAAGGCUUGAUCUUUUUAGACACGAGUAGGUAUCCAGGAAAUAAAAGCACAAUGAGGGAAGAAGCAUCAUAAACAGAGAACAAGGAUGUACGUUAUUUUAAAAGGAAUAAAUCUUGUAGCUGCUUGGUAUAGAACUUAUCCUGACUGUGGCUGACAAGCAGGUGAUUUUUUCCCAAUACUCUUACUUUAUGGUUUUUUGGUUUUUGUUUUUGAUCACUACACGAUAGUUAAUUAGUUAUCACAGAAUCAGAAAAAUACUUAACCUAAAAGGAGAGACCUGGAGACCAGUGGUUUCUAGGAUUAGACACCUGUAAAGAACUUCUUUUAAUUUUUCUGGAAAGAAUCUGUACACACUUGUAGCUAAUUAAUGAUUUUCCCUUCUAUUUAGUACCCAAAGUUUUGUCUUUUUGAAAUGGCUGUGUCAUGAGUGAACCAAAAGAUUUUAAUGGGUGGGCUAUGUCUUAAUUUUUCUGAAGUCUAGCUUUGUUAUUAUGUCAUUGUUUUAUACCUCUUUUGGUUAUUUUUUCUGCUGAGUGUUUAAGACCAAGUUAAAGUGAGACCUGUGUCAGUCAAUAUGAACCUGUUGUUAUCCAUCAAGGUCAGUUAAGUCUCCCCGGGCCAUUACUUUAGAACCAUAUAUAGAGCCUCUCUGCUGCUUUGUCAGUGUCAGCCAUCUGGAUGGGUCAUGGCCUUACUUGACCAAGUUGUUUUCAGUGAAAUCAUGGGAGAUUUUUUCUUGGUGACCCUCCCUUGGCACACAGUACAUUGUCCUCUGGUGUCCAGCAAUCUCCCUGAUUAGGAGGUUGAGUGACUUAGCAAAGACGUAGGACCCUGUAGAGAAGGUUUCCUCAUGUCCUGGAUCUUUGUUGACCUUGAGGGGCCAGGGCCAAAAUAUUGGCUGUCCUCAUAGCCCAGUUACCUUUUUAGUUUUGGUCUCCAAACUUUAGUUGUUGAACACCCAGAAGAGAAGGUCAAUAGCAUUAGCAUUGUAACAAGAGUAAUGAGUUUAACUAUUAUGAUUUUACCUGAAUAACAAGCAUUUUGGAAUUUAAAUAAAGAGAACUGUUAUUGUUAUCAGUCAUGGUUGUUUUAGUAGUUGAAUUCCUGUAGAAUAUUAACAGAAAAAGAGCCACAAAUAAUAUUUUAACAUGACAAUUAUGAUGACUUUACCUUUGUAACACAUUUAAAUGUCCAUCUUGAUAUAAAAUAGCCAUUGUUAAACACUCAUUUUUUAAAAAAAAAAA